AAAGACUAAAGCCGAACGUCCUCAGAGCUGUUUAACGUUCCGAGUUAAGAAGAUCUUUAACGAAAGUAGCUUUACUAAACCUGACCCCACGAAAGCUGUGAAACAAACUGGGAUUAGAUGCCCCACUAUGCUCAGCCCUAAAAUUCGAUAGGUCACUACGCCCCCUAUCCGCCCGGGUACUACGAGCAUCAGCUUGGAAACCCAAAGGACUUGGCGGUGGCUUCACAUCCGUCUAGAGGAGCCUGUCCUGUAACCGAUAACCCCCGUUAAACCUCACCCUCCCUUGUUAAUCCCGCCUAUAUACCGCCGUCGUCAGCCUACCCUGUGAAGGACUAGUAGUGAGCAAGAUUGGUAAAACCCAAAACGUCAGGUCGAGGUGUAGUAAAUGAGAGGGGAAGAGAUGGCUACAUUUCCUCGAUCAGGAAAUACGAACAAUGAACUGAAAUAAGCAUUAGAAGGUGAAUUUAGCAGUAAGCAGAUAAACAGAGUGUUCUGCUGAAGUUAAUGGCAAUAAAGCACGUACAUAUCGCCCGUCACUCUCCCCGAGCUACCUAAAAAACCACACCUGCAAAGGGGAGGCAAGCGUAACACGGUAAGCGUACCGGAAGGUGUGCUUGGACAAAUCAGAGUGUAGCUAGA
rnacentral:rRNA from 1 species